AGAGUUUGAUCAUGGCUCAGAAUGAACGCUGGCGGCAUGCCUAACACAUGCAAGUCGAACGAAGCCUUCGGGCUUAGUGGCACACGGGUGCGUAACGCGUGGGAAUCUGCCCUUGGGUUCGGAAUAACAGUUAGAAAUGACUGCUAAUACCGAAUGAUGUCGUAAGACCAAAGAUUUAUCGCCCAGGGAUGAGCCCGCGUAGGAUUAGCUAGUUGGUGUGGUAAAGGCGCACCAAGGCGACGAUCCUUAGCUGGUCUGAGAGGAUGAUCAGCCACACUGGGACUGAGACACGGCCCAGACUCCUACGGGAGGCAGCAGUGGGGAAUAUAGGACAAUGGGCGAAAGCCUGAUCCAGCAAUGCCGCGUGAGUGAUGAAGGCCUUAGGGUUGUAAAGCUUCUUUUACCCGGGAUGAUAAUGACAGUACCGGGAGAAUAAGCUCCGGCUAACUCCGUG
rnacentral:rRNA from 1 species